rnacentral:rRNA from 1 species
UACGUAGGGUGCGAGCGUUGUCCGGAAUUAUUGGGCGUAAAGAGCUCGUAGGCGGCCUGUUGCGUCCGCUGUGAAAUCCCGGGGCUUAACCCCGGGCGUGCAGUGGAUACGGGCAGGCUGGAGGCAGGCAGGGGAGAACGGAAUUCCCGGUGUAGCGGUGAAAUGCGCAGAUAUCAGGAGGAACACCGGUGGCGAAGGCGGUUCUCUGGGCAUGUCCUGACGCUGAGGAGCGAAAGUGUGGGGAGCGAACAGG